AGUCUUAGUUCUCCGAGGCGGUGCGAGAAGGCCGGAGAUCGGACGCUCCUCUCUUAGCUUUCUCUCCGCCAGGUCGACUCCGAGCAGCAACACAGACUCUGAGCUUCGCGCCUCAGGGGAAGAUUAGAGGGCGUAGCGGCCUUCGAAGGCUCGGCCAAGAACCUUCCGCCCCCUCGCCGCCUCGAUGAGCAGCUCUCAAAAGAGGCACAAACAUCAGAAGCAUGGAUACAGUCUCAUCUGUUAGAAGAAUGUUCAAAGG
rnacentral:lncRNA from 1 species